CUUGGUCAUUUAGAGGAAGUAAAAGUCGUAACAAGGUUUCCGUAGGUGAACCUGCGGAAGGAUCAUUAAAAAUAUCCUUCACCCUGGAUGAAAGUCCGGGUGGGCCAGCCGUUUGGGCUCUAAACAUACGUAAUGCCCGUCCGGUCUCCUCGUGAGGUCGUUCAGGUACUCGUUACUUCAAACCAUUGUGAAACUCCUGUUGCUUCGGCGGCAUGCCUCGUGCUGUCAGCCCGUCCGAGGCUCACCAAAACCACUUCUGUAAACUUCUGUCAGUAUACGAAAAAGUAAAUCGUUAAAACUUUCAACAACGGAUCUCUUGGUUCUCGCAUCGAUGAAGAACGCAGCGAAACGCGAUAGGUAAUGUGAAUUGCAGAAUUCAGUGAAUCAUCGAAUCUUUGAACGCACAUUGCGCCUCCUGGUAUUCCGGGGGGCAUGUCUGUUUGAGCGUCAGUACCCACUCUUUCGAAAUCUUUUUUUCGUCAGGUCUUGAGGGACACAUGUCCUUUCGAUGUAGACGCUUGCGAACCCGAUACCGAUCAUGACGUAGUAAAUUCAUUUCGUCUUGUCAAGUUGAAGGCCGCCUGAACACCAAACUUUGUAGUUUGACCUCAGAUCAAACAAGGAUACCCGCUGAACUUAAGCAUAUCAAUAAGCGGAGGAA
rnacentral:rRNA from 1 species